CUGAGUCAUAUCGUUGUCGUCUUAUUCAACAGUGUUGCAUGGCCGACAGGUCACAUGACUAAGUUUGGAGCCAUUCUAACGGAACAACGCACGUCCUGUGAUAGCAUUUGUCGCUCUCUGUGAAUUACCUCCCUUGAUCCAAGAUGGCUAAUUGUGGGUGGCUGUGGAGUUUCAUCUGGUUCAUCAUCCUGAUUGUCUUUGGCUGGCCAAUUGGAUUCUUCUGUGCCGUCUUCUAUGUUCUGCUUAGUCCCUGUGCAGCCUGCUGUUCUGGAUGUGUAGAACUUAUAAAUUUAUUAGAGAGAGGUGUCAAACUACCCCUCACAUGCGCACAGAACAUGGUCAGUGGGAAGUCCAUGUGUUAGUCUGGAGAUCCAGGGCAUAAUGUGGCAAUUUGUAGAAGGAUGCUCACAUCUGUAGUCAAAUGAAUUCCAUCAACACAACAAGACAGUCCAAACAACAGACCAACACUGACCUCGCAAUCAUCAACAAUGUCAUCUCAGCCUGAUGAAUCAGUGAAGGAAGGAUUAGCAAUUUGACCGGACGGACCACCCAACUACAACCUUAGUGAAUGUUAGUCAUCAGUGUAGUCGAAGAUC